UUAUUGUGCUGUCCCAGAUGCUGCCCCUCGUAUGAGAAGUGGCCAGAUCCCAUGUCGCUUCGCGCAUAACAGCUCGUCCUUUAUUCGGAUUGGAACGGACACGGAACAAUUCAGUGAAAGAGUAUCGAUGUGAUGACACCCUUUUGACGAUGUUGGUCAGGGAACCUGUGAUGAUGUGGUGCAAAAAAUGCUACCGGCAUCACUUUCGUUCCGCUAUUGCACUUGACCCGAACUAGGACCGCGACGGCACUGACGAACUUGCGGCAGCGGUGAUGAUGCGUAUCCCUCCUUCGAAAUUGCGGUGCUGAGAUGAUGAUAAGGUAGAAGCUUGUGUGGAAUAAGGCUGCAGCCAAAACGGAAUGAAUAUUUGUUUUCUUUGAACUGGAACGGCAACAGUGGCAGCAUAGACGAUCGUCUCGAACAUGACGACUGCAACGAACCGACAUGGAACCGCGGACAAUAACUUAAAUAACAACUAUGCAUAAGCACAAAUAUACUUAUAGUUUAUUUCCUAA